GCCCCCCUCAAGAUGAGAUAUCCCCCGCGAAAGCGGUAAGACCCCUUGAAGACGACGAGGUAGAUAGGUUGGAGGUGGAAGCGCAGCAAUGCGUGGAGCUGACCAAUACUAAUAGGUCGAAGGCUUAUCCA
rnacentral:rRNA from 1 species